UACAUUUUAGUAUAUGAUGUACAAGAACUUUUGAUGUUUUAAGAGAUAGUUUAAUUCUAUUAAAUGUAA
rnacentral:tRNA from 1 species